GCUCCAGCAUACCUGCACCCUGAGAUGUUGUCACACAUCAGACGCUGACCUAGCGGAGCCCAUACUAUCUUCCAAUAAAGAAGAACCUGCCCUUACAGAGAACUGGGCGCGCAGCACUGCAGUAGCACCUUAAGGACAGCAGAGCACAGUGUCCUGGACUUGCCACCAGUGUCAACUCUGAGUGUAGACACAACUGAAACUGUUCCUUCAUACACAUGCAGUUAAGCUUUCAGACACUCAACAAGAGCCUUGACACCCUCAAGCUGGGGU
rnacentral:lncRNA from 1 species